ACGGCUCAGUAACACGUGGAUAAUCUGCCCUAAGGUCAGGCAUAACACCGGGAAACUGGUGAUAAUUCCUGAUAUACCAUAGAUACUGGAAUGUUCUGUGGUCAAAAGCUCCGGCGCCUUAGGAUGAAUCUGCGGCCUAUCAGGUCGUAGUGGGUGUAACGUACCUACUAGCCGACGACGGGUACGGGUUGUGAGAGCAAGAGCCCGGAGAUGGAUUCUGAGACAUGAAUCCAGGCCCUACGGGGCGCAGCAGGCGCGAAAACUUUACAAUGCGGGAAACCGCGAUAAGGGGACACUGAGUGCCAGCAUACAAUGUUGGCUGUCCGCAUGUAUAAAUAGCAUGUGUUAGCAAGGGCCGGGCAAGACCGGUGCCAGCCGCCGCGGUAACACCGGCGGCCCGAGUGGUGGCCACUAUUAUUGGGCCUAAAGGGUCCGUAGCCGGUUUGAUCAGUCUUCCGGGAAAUCUGACAGCUCAACUGUUAGGCUUCCGGGGGAUACUGUCAGACUUGGGACCGGGAGAGGUAAGAGGUACUACAGGGGUAGGAGUGAAAUCUUGUAAUCCUUGUGGGACCACCAGUGGCGAAGGCGUCUUACCAGAACGGGUCCGACGGUGAGGGACGAAAGCUGGGGGCACGAACCGGAUUAGAUACCCGGGUAGUCCCAGCCGUAAACGAUGCUCGCUAGGUGUCUGGGAUGGUGCGACCGUUUCAGGUGCCGCAGGGAAGCCGUGAAGCGAGCCACCUGGGAAGUACGGCCGCAAGGCUGAAACUUAAAGGAAUUGGCGGGGGAG
rnacentral:rRNA from 1 species